AUGUCUAACAAACAAACAAAAAGCCUCACAGGAAGCAUGCCAAGAAAUACAAGUGCCCUCAACACCUCCAGGAGACUGAGGAACCUCUUUCUGUCCACUCGCAAUGCGGAAGCAUCAACUAUGGCUUCAGGAAAGGAAAGACGCUCAUUCUCCAGUCGACAAUCACAAAUUUUAAAAAAUGUUCUGAACCAAAGUGCACACACUCAACAUGUUAGGUGGAAGGAGAGGUUUUCAUCAACAGAACAUCUGAUGCAUUGAAGACGAAGGUGCUUUCUGAGGGGGGGUGGGGGGAUCGGGGGUGAACAGAACGGCGAGGACCACCCAAGUCAAUCUCCCAUCCAGCAGAAGAACGCCUUUCUGGACUUACCACUGAGAUCUUCAGGAAAUGUAUUAAUUAUAAUUAGCCCAUGUUUCUAAGUCAUAAACAUAAUUUUCUUUGAUGGUAAGGAAUUUUCAAGUAGUUCAAGAUCAUGCUUUUGAAUCAGAAUUUUAAAUGUAGUGAACUGUGAUGAUGUUGUCCUAGAAUAUGGAGCCAAAUGUAAAGAGACCACAGGAUAUGCCUGGGAACGGACACUUAGAAAGGGGGGGAGGGGGAGAAAGAAAGAAAUCCUUGAUCUAUUUUACUAUCCUAUAUUUCUCCUAAGACAUGCUCAAAGAGAGCCCAUGUUGAUUAAAGAGUUGCGAUUUGUGUGUUCUGGUUAUCUGAGGUUUAAUUUUGGCUUCAUUGAGAAAAAUAAUUCGAUAUUAUGAGCUCAAGCAGAUUGCCGCCAAAGGCAAUGAUGUUGUUAAUGCUUAAUUGAAAACUCUUCUGAAUUAUUAAUAGCAUAAUUUCUGCCUUCGGAUAAAUAUUUAUUUCAACUGAAGCUUGUCCAAUGUAAAAUUAUACUGCCAUGACAAACUAGCACAGCCUUGAAAGGUACGGUAGGUUUACAUGGUCUCAUACAAGAGACACAGUACUAAAAGCUACAGUAUGUAUAAAAUCUUUUUUAUAAAUCCCAUCAUGGCAAAAUAUUCUAGGUGAAUCUAUCUGAAGAGUCCCAGAACGUUCAGACCACAGUCACCGAGAACUACCUCUACGACAUUUCAUUUGUACUGCUAAAUCUUUGACUACCUCCUUUCCCAAGGAAGAGCACUUUAUAGGCUCUCUUUUCCAAGAACCUCUUUCAAAAGACACAAUAGAAAAGCACGCAAAUGGUAAGCAGUCCCUACUCCACAGGGAGCAUAGGUUCCCACCCGCCAAACACAAGUACCUGUAUAUAAGGUCAAAGCGAUACCCCAACAACAGGGCCCCAGCACACUGAGCAAAGGAGGGGAGUCAGGAAGGCCACGGAGGCAGCAGGAACAAGCACUGAGAUCACACUGUGUGGCAGAUGCUGUU
rnacentral:lncRNA from 1 species